GGGGAUGCCAUGGUUUCGACGUGGUCGAAGAAUUAUUAAUAGCAAGUCGAAUGUGGAACGUAAAUCCACAGUUUAAAUAUAAACGCAAACAACAAUAGCGAAGCUAACUUCGCACUAGCUGCCUAAGAAUCUGGUAGCAAUGAAUUGUAGGUUUGUCGCGAACUUACAAUUUGUUUCAUAAUUUUAGCGACAACUAAUAUACCAAAGCUUUGAGGUAUAUUCAGUAUAAUGAAGCUAGCAUAAAAAUUAUUUGUAAGUUUACUGGUUUUUAUGCAAAAUUUUUAAACUUACUAAACUUGUAGAGGUUAAUAAGGAGACUUCCACGGACAUGGGUUCGACUCCCAUCAUCUCCACCA
rnacentral:tmRNA from 2 species